GGUAAGAUGGCUGAGAAUCAAGCGGUGGAUUGUAGCUCCAUAGACAGAGGUUUAAAUCCUCUUCUUACCA
rnacentral:tRNA from 1 species